rnacentral:lncRNA from 1 species
CAUUUCCCCAAAGCAAAAGUUGAAACAAAGGUUUCUUGGUCCACUGCAGGUCCUAACUGACGAUUUAGGUCCAACAUGAUGAUGAAUAUGUUUCAAGAUCUUCUAAACCCUGCACCUUUCCAAUUCAUCAUAAUUUUUUCAACAUAUAAUUUAUCUUACAGAGACAAAAAUUUAAACAUUCAGAUUGAUUUGGUGGAUGUACAAGGUUCGAAGGUUGCUCUGGAGCAUCAAUCUAGACGGGGCAUCCUACAACUGAAAAAACCCAGUGCUCUCUAUUUUGAUCUGUUGAAGAAGCUUCUGUUGUCUUAGCUGCUAGCAUUGAUUGUGGUUUCUUGCUUCCGCCUUCUUGUGGUUGCAGAUUGUUUAGCCCAAGCCAUGCUGGUAGCCAUCAAAAUCUGUCGUAUUUUUGGCUUGUGAUCCUCUCCUGACUUAUAUUUGGGUAUUGUGGAUGGCUUGAUAUGCAAAAAGAGGUUAGGGAUUAACGCUUUAUAGCAAAACAAUGGAGAGUUGAAGCUUCUGAACUGGAAGCUUGAACAAACAAAUUGCCAUGGACACUCUACUCCUCAUCAUGUCUUUGAUUAGUGUCAUUGCCACUGAAUAUGAUUCCGAUUUGUUGGUAUAUAAUUGAUUUUCAGAAGUGAUGUUCUUCUGGUGGUUCUCCAGUGGGAUCUGGAUACGAAUCUUCAGUGCAUCUUCUCAAUUUGUUGCGGAACUUCCUAUUUUAAUUUGGCAACUUGUAAAAUAAGUCUGGCUAAAUUUGAUGACUACUGCUGAUUGUAUACUUUUCAACUCAAGUAGCUUGUACAUGUGAGUUUCAUUCAUGCUGGAUAUUCUCAUUCAGGUUCUGGAAUUUAUAGCUUUCCUUAUUUGUGCCCGUAUGUCCCUGCCUUGUGAUCUUGUGCAAAUGUUGUGUGAAUAUUUACUGCCUUUGGUGAGUUGUGUGCGGUGCCAAUCCUGCCUUUGGUUGAUCUUGUGGCUUGUGUACUUAGCUGAAUAUAAUUGGUUGUGGUGUUUGCUAAUUUUUGUGUUUAGUAAGUAGUUUUGUAGUUUAG